rnacentral:rRNA from 1 species
UGGGGAAUAUUGCACAAUGGGCGAAAGCCUGAUGCAGCAACGCCGCGUGAGGGACGACGGCCUUCGGGUUGUAAACCUCUUUUAGCAAGGAAGAAGCGAAAGUGACGGUACUUGCAGAAAAAGCGCCGGCUAACUACGUGCCAGCAGCCGCGGUAAUACGUAGGGCGCAAGCGUUAUCCGGAAUUAUUGGGCGUAAAGAGCUCGUAGGCGGUUUGUCGCGUCUGCUGUGAAAACCCGAGGCUCAACCUCGGGCCUGCAGUGGGUACGGGCAGACUAGAGUGCGGUAGGGGAGAUUGGAACUCCUGGUGUAGCGGUGGAAUGCGCAGAUAUCAGGAAGAACACCGAUGGCGAAGGCAGAUCUCUGGGCCGUAACUGACGCUGAGGAGCGAAAGGGUGGGGAGCAAACAGGCUUAGAAUACCCUGGUAGUCCACCCCGUAAACGUUGGGAACUAGUUGUGGGGUCCAUUCCACGGAUUCCGUGACGCAGCUAACGCAUUAAGUUCCCCGCCUGGGGAGUACGGCCGCAAGGCUAAAACUGC